CCCUUAGAUGUUCUGGGCCGCACGCGCGCUACACUGACGAAGUCAGCGAGCAUGUCCUACGCCGACAGGUGCGGGGAAUCUUGUCAAACUUCGUCGUGAUGGGGAUUGAUUUUUGAAAUUCUUGAUCAUAAACGAGGAAUUCCUAGUAAGCGCAAGUCAGCAGCUUGCGUUGAUUACGUCCCUGCCCUUUGUACACACCGCCCGUCGCUACUACCGAUUGAAUGGUUUAGUGAGAUCUUCGGAUUGGCGCCACUGCAGCUCAGCAAUGGGCUUGGUGGAUGCCGAAAAGUUGACCAAACUUGAUCAUUUAGAGGAAGUAAAAGUCGUAACA
rnacentral:rRNA from 1 species